rnacentral:rRNA from 1 species
CCUACGGGGGGCAGCAGUGGGGAAUAUUAGACAAUGGGGGCAACCCUGAUCCAGCCAUGCCGCGUGUGUGAAGAAGGCCCUCGGGUUGUAAAGCACUUUCAGUGAGGAAGAACGCCUGGUGGUUAAUACCCAUCAGGAAAGACAUCACUCACAGAAGAAGCACCGGCUAACUCCGUGCCAGCAGCCGCGGUAAUACGGAGGGUGCGAGCGUUAAUCGGAAUUACUGGGCGUAAAGCGCGCGUAGGUGGCUUGAUAAGCCUGUUGUGAAAGCCCCGGGCUCAACCUGGGAACGGCAUCCGGAACUGUCAAGCUAGAGUGCAGGAGAGGAAGGUAGAAUUCCCGGUGUAGCGGUGAAAUGCGUAGAGAUCGGGAGGAAUACCAGUGGCGAAGGCGGCCUUCUGGACUGACACUGACACUGAGGUGCGAAAGCGUGGGUAGCAAACAGGAUUAGAUACCCUUGUAGUC